rnacentral:rRNA from 1 species
GAUUAACGCUAGCGGCAGGCAUAAUACAUGCAAGUUGAACGGGAUAAGUUUAGCAAUAAACUUUGAGAGUGGCGCACGGGUGCGUAACACGUAUGCAACCUACCCGAUACAGGGGGAUAGCCUCUCGAAAGGAGGAUUAAUGCCCCAUAACAAGCUGAGUGGCAUCACUUGGCUUUGAAAGCUCCGGCGGUAAAGGAUGACCAUGCGCACGAUUAGCUAGUUGGUGAGGUAACGGCUCACCAAGGCUACGAUCGUUAGGGGGCCUGAGAGGGUUAUCCCCCACACUGGUACUGAGACACGGACCAGACUCCUACGGGAGGCAGCAGUGAGGAAUAUUGCGCAAUGGAGGCAACUCUGACGCAGCCAUGCCGCGUGCAGGAAGAAGGCGCUACGCGUUGUAAACUGCUUUUAACCGGGAAGAAACCCCAGGACGUGUCCUGGGUUGACGGUACCGGAGGAAUAAGCACCGGCUAACUUCGUGCCAGCCGCCGCGGUAAUAC